UAGUCCACGCCGUAGACGAUGUCUACUAGCCGUUGGGACUCUUGAAGUCUUAGUGGCGCAGCUAACGCACUAAGUAGACCGCCUGGGGAGUACGGCCGCAAGGUUAAAACUCAAAUGAGUUGACGGGGGCCCGCACAAGCGGUGGAGCAUGUGGUUUAAUUCGAUGCAACGCGAAGAACCUUACCUACCCUUGACAUCCUCGGAAUGCUUUAGAGAUAGAGCAGUGCCUUCGGGAGCCGAGUGACAGGUGCUGCAUGGCUGUCGUCAGCUCGUGUCGUGAGAUGUUGGGUUAAGUCCCGUAACGAGCGCAACCCUUAUCCUUAGUUACCAUCGAUUCGGUCGGGAACUCUAGGGAGACUGCCGGUGAUAAACCGGAGGAAGGCGGGGACGACGUCAAGUCAUCAUGGCCCUUAUGGGUAGGGCUACACACGUGCUACAAUGGUCGGUACAAAGGGCGGCGAAGUCGUGAGACGAAGCGAAUCCCAGAAAGCCGAUCGUAGUCCGGAUUGGAGUCUGCAAC
rnacentral:rRNA from 1 species